GAUGAACGCUGGCGGCGUGCCUAAUACAUGCAAGUCGAGCGAACAGACGAGGAGCUUGCUUCUCUGACGUUAGCGGCGGACGGGUGAGUAACACGUGGAUAACCUACCUAUAAGACUGGGAUAACUUCGGGAAACCGGAGCUAAUACCGUAUAAUAUAUUGAACCGCAUGGUUCAAUAGUGAAAGACGGUUUUGCUGUCACUUAUGGAUGGAUCCGCGCCGCAUUAGCUAGUUGGUAAGGUAACGGCUUACCAAGGCAACGAUGCGUAGCCGACCUGAGAGGGUGAUCGGCCACACUGGAACUGAGACACGGUCCAGACUCCUACGGGAGGCAGCAGUAGGGAAUCUUCCGCGAUGGGCGAAAGCCUGACGGAGCAACGCCGCGUGAGUGAUGAAGGUCUUCGGAUCGUAAAACUCUGUUAUUAGGGAAGAACAAAUGUGUAAGUAACUAUGCACGUCUUGACGGUACCUAAUCAGAAAGCCACGGCUAACUACGUG
rnacentral:rRNA from 1 species